GUUUCCAAAACACCCCGAAACCAACAGAGAGAUAUGUAUAUCUCACCACCCAAAAACCCCAAAAACGAAAGAAAAAGGGUGAGAUCCAGCGCGGGGCAGGAGGAGCAGCAGGAGGGCGCUGCCAGCCGGGGGGCCCCGUCCCUCCCACGCUGGGGCUGCUCCCGGCACUUGUGCUUUUGCUUUGCAUGUCGAGGGGUGGGGACCCGCCAGCGGCACCCACGGGCCAGGGCCCCCGUCUCACACCGGAGCAGCUCGCCCAGACGGCAGAGGCUGUGCAGGAGAAAGAGGAAAACCAGAACUGAGGUCCUGCUCCGCGGCACUCCCGAGCCCCCCCCCAGAGGGGUAAGUCAGCAGCUGACACCAGGCUGCCAGGCACAGCCCAGGCCAUCGCUGCCACAGGCUCUACAAGUUCUUACAGCAUAAAAAGCAGGCCAGCCCCAAACGCAGGGUGCCCGGGUCACCCAGGCCAGCAGCAGUCCUUGCAAGAGUGGCGCUUGGUGGUAGGAUCCAGCCAGGCUGAUCUCUUACCUGGUUCUGGGAGGGAGCAGGAGGUGCUGGUCAGCAUCCCAGGUUCCUCCAAGGUCAUCAAGAGGGGACCAGGCACAAUGCUGCAGCAGGGGUAGCACCCAUAAACAUGGGCUACAAUCCCCCCAGCUGGUUUAAGAGUCUCUCCUUCACUGAGCUGGGUUUUAAGAGCUGCUGUGGCCGGAUUUACUAACUAGAGCUUCUGUGGACCUGGGCAGUCAUAACCACCGUCAGGUGAGGACCCUGGUUGCUCCCAGAGGGGUGAUGGGCUCUGAUGUAGGCACGGUCCUCACAGGUGUUGUGGCCGUUAGUGACUGUUCCCACAUCCCCAGCUCCUGCACUUGUUCAUAUGGAACAUACGGAUACACGGCUGCCCUGCAGCAUAUAGAAAAUACUUCACACAAUACAUGCCCUGCUUUAACAAGCGUCAGCGAGCCCUGGUUGUAAAGGCUGUCUACAAAACUCACCUGGGGCUUCUGACUCAUCACGUACAAGCCAGAAUUGUUCACCCAGUGCCCUGACGUGGCUGACCGUGGGGUCUGCUCAGCAAAAUAAGGGUGGAAAAACCAUUCAGGGGCAGAAGGAAGCCGUGCCUGGGGAGAGUCUCGCACCUACCACCGCAGCCAGCCCCCUGCACCGAAGGGAAGCAAACACAGCACACGCAGCAAAAUUUCCUCUUUCUGGAGGUUUUUUUUUAACAUACUGCUGGUUUUUACACAGCA
rnacentral:lncRNA from 1 species